rnacentral:rRNA from 1 species
GGCUAGCUGGUCUGAGAGGAUGAUCAGCCACACUGGGACUGAGACACGGCCCAGACUCCUACGGGAGGCAGCAGUGGGGAAUAUUGCGCAAUGGGGGAAACCCUGACGCAGCGACGCCGCGUGGGUGAUGAAGGCUUUUCGGGUCGUAAAGCCCUGUCAAGAGGGAAGAAUUGUCUUGGGUGCGAAUAGUGCCUAGGCUUGACGGUACCUCUAAAGGAAGAUCCGGCUAACUCCGUGCCAGCAGCCGCGGUAA